CGAAGAGAAGGAGCCUUGCCUUAGCACUAUGGUCCACCAAAAGGAAGUGAUUGUGGCAGCAUUAUUUUUCUCUCUGUUCGGGACUUCAGUUCAGAAAAAUGACAGAGCAAUGGAAUCUUCUUCAGUGAACUGUGAUCAGCUUGGGAAUUGUUGGAGUGUGAUCUACAGCCCUCGCUUCAUCUGUGCCUUAACAGGCUCAUCUGUGGACCUGGGCAGCACAUACACUUACCCCUCCUCUGAAACACCCCACAG